rnacentral:tRNA from 1 species
GCGGAUGUGGCGAAAUUGGUAGACGCGCUGGAUUUAGGUUCCAGUGGGCUUGCUCGUGGGAGUUCGAGUCUCCCUAUCCGCA